AUAUAUCAAGAUUAACCGUAUAGUUUAAUGGCCUUUAUAUGAAAAUUUUUAUGUUCUUAAACUAAACUGGAAAUAUUUGAGAGCUGGGAUAUUUUUGAUACACUAGCACGGAUCACCGUUGUGGGUCACGUAAAAAAUAAAUGGGCAUGGUGGUGUGUCCUUUUCUUAGAAGGUGAACAAAUCAGUUUCAGACCACAUAAUUCAGCUUUACAAAUAAGUACAAUGGAAUUAUGGAACCUUGGAAAAAGUGGUCACUCGUGUGUGGUGACCAUCGAUCUUGUACAAAAUGAAAAUGCAGGUACAUGUUUUUUUUUGGAAGGAAAAAUGCAGGUACAUUUCCAAACCUAUUUUCGAUACUGUAUAUUUUUGGGGGUAAAAACUGUAGUAUUUCCUAUUUCAUGUAACGUUAAGUUUAAGAAAGGAAAAAGGCUGCAUCUAACUGUCUAGCAUAAUACCAUAUUCAUAUACGCAUAAAUAAUGCUAAUUUUUAUUGACAACUAACUUACUUACUCA
rnacentral:lncRNA from 1 species